AACGAACGCUGGCGGCAUGCCUAACACAUGCAAGUCGAACGAGACCUUCGGGUCUAGUGGCGCACGGGUGCGUAACGUGUGGGAACCUGCCCUUAGGUUCGGAAUAACUCCCCGAAAGGGGUGCUAAUACCGGAUAAUGUCUUCGGACCAAAGAUUUAUCGCCUUUGGAUGGGCCCGCGUUGGAUUAGCUAGUUGGUAGGGUAAAAGCCUACCAAGGCGACGAUCCAUAGCUGGUCUGAGAGGAUGAUCAGCCACACUGGGACUGAGACACGGCCCAGACUCCUACGGGAGGCAGCAGUGGGGAAUAUUGGACAAUGGGCGAAAGCCUGAUCCAGCAAUGCCGCGUGAGUGAUGAAGGCCUUAGGGUUGUAAAGCUCUUUUACCCGGGAUGAUAAUGACAGUACCGGGAGAAUAAGCUCCGGAUAACUCCGUG
rnacentral:rRNA from 1 species